CGUUUGAGCACAGAAAUUCGCUAAUUUUUUUUAUUGCAUGCCUUAACCGUGUUGCGUCGCAUCAAGGCUCCUUUCUGCCGAGUUUUGCAGCCCGUGAUCAUCUACUUCUUCAACCUCUCUUCUCAACUCUCCUUAAAUAGAAACUACAUGUAUCUUGAUUUCCAUGGGUACCCAAGCUACGCAAGUUGACACAAUGAACCAUCUACCUUUUACCAAUACACCAGAUGAGUACAAUAUGACAGCAGGUGAUAAACAGACCAACACAUUAAAGUGCACCUACGUGGUAGAGAAGUAGGACACUGACACCUGGGACAAAGAGGAACUGAUGUGGACGCGAAAGGACCAGUCUUUAACUGCCCGCCAUAAAGCCAAUAAUAGCAUGCUCGUCAUUGAAAACACAGAAAGGACUGAUAUUGGCCCAUACACUUGCUCUGUGAAACUGACAUGGGGAGGGGUAGGCAGUUUCCUCUGAAACUGUUUCCACCAUGGUCCCAUUGAAUGGU